rnacentral:rRNA from 1 species
CCGCAGUAUUCUAACUGUGCAAAGGUAGCAUAAUCAUUAGUCUUUUAAUUGGAGGCUGGUAUGAAUGGUUGGACGAAGUAUAAGCUGUUUCAUUUAAAUUUAUAAUAGAAUUUUAUUUUUUAGUCAAAAAGCUAAAAUAAUAUUAAAAGACGAGAAGACCCUAUAAAUCUUUAUAUUUUUUGUUGUUUAAGUUUUGUAGAUAUAUUUUAUUUUUAUAAUAAAAAAUAUUUUGUUGGGGUGAUGUUAAAAUUUAAUGAACUUUUAAUAAUUAUAAAAAUCAUUAAUUUAUGAUUUAUUGAUCCAUUAAUAAUGAUUAUAAGAUUAAGUUACUUUAGGGAUAACAGCG